UACGGAGGGUGCGAGCGUUGUUCGGAAUCACUGGGCGUAAAGGGCGUGUAGGCGGUCUGUUAAGUCUGAUGUGAAAGCCCGGGGCUCACCCCCGGAAGUGCAUUGGAUACUGGCGGACUCGAGUCUCGGAGAGGAGGGUGGAAUUCCUGGUGUAGCGGUGAAAUGCGUAGAUAUCAGGAGGAACACCGGUGGCGAAGGCAGCUCGCUGGGACGGUAACUGACGCUGGAGGCGCGAAAGCGUGGGGAGCGAAC
rnacentral:rRNA from 1 species